rnacentral:rRNA from 1 species
CAGUCGCCACGGGAAUACGAAGGGGGCAAGCGUUGUUCGGAAUUACUGGGCGUAAAGGGCGCGUAGGCGGCUUAUCAAGUCAGGCGUGAAAUUCCCGGGCUCAACCUGGGGGCUGCGUUUGAUACUGAUGAGCUUGAAUGCGGGAGAGGAUAGUGGAAUUCCCAGUGUAGAGGUGAAAUUCGUAGAUAUUGGGAAGAACACCGGUGGCGAAGGCGGCUAUCUGGCCCGUGAUUGACGCUGAGGCGCGAAAGCGUGGGGAGCAAACAGGAUUAGAUACCCCAGUAGUCCCUGUCUCUUAUAC